rnacentral:rRNA from 1 species
GGGGGACAACCCAGGGAAACCUGGGCUAAUACCGCAUGUGCCCGCAAGGGUAAAGAUGGCUGUAAGGCUGCCGUUUGAAGAUGAGCCUGCGUCCUAUUAGCUGGAUGGUGAGGUAAAAGCUUACCAUGGCGAUGAUAGGUAGGCGGCCUUAACGGGCGGUCGCCCACACUGGGAUUGAGAUACGGCCCAGACUCCUACGGGAGGCAGCAGUCGAGAAUAGUCUACAAUGGACGAAAGUCUGAUAGUGCGACGCCGCGUGAAUGAAGAAACCUUUCGGGGUGUAAAAUUCUUUUCUGUGCGAGCAGGGGCUGAAAGAGUAAUAUGCUUUUGGUCUGGAUAUUAGUACAGGAAUAAGCCACGGCUAACUCCGUGCCAGCAGCCGCGGUAACACGGGGGUGGCAAGCGUUGUCCGGAAUUACUA